GAAGCUACGCUACCGCUCAGACAUCGAGGAGUUGGUGCUGUAUCAGCCGACGCUGACAAGGAUCGAGUUUAUAGCUUACGCCGCUGGCUACCUGGGCAUAUGGCUGGGCUUGUCGGUGAUGACAUUCCUCUUGGACAUGCAGGGCAAGAUCAAAACACACAAGAGAGCAAUCGAAGAAGCGUUCAGCGAUGUCUGGACGAAGAAGGCCGGGCGCUUCCGGCUCAAGAACAAAGAGAGGUGGUCUGAUCCCGUGAUCGCCAUCGGCUAAGCACGGCAGUUUUCACAUUUGCAAUAUGUCAAAGCAGAGCUGAAACCCCAC